CUUAUUGCUUACCGUGCUCCCUUGCUGCCUUUUUGUGUGCUCAGCUUUUGAUUGCAAAGUAGACUUGUUGCCUUGCCAAUUCGUUCACUCUUUAAACCCUUUUAUCUUGUUAUUAGGCUGCUCUUUGGCGUAAAUUGCAAUCGAUUAGGGAUCGUUUCUCAGAAUCAAGUUAGAAGUGAGAGUUCAGAUAAGUGAGGCCGCCAUUGCUGCUUUGAACACCUCAGAAGGGGAGAAUGGAUUUAUCAGGAGUGAAAAAGAAGAGCUUGCUAGGAGUCAAAGAAAAUAAUAAAAAGUCCAGCACUAGGGCUCCUUCACCUACCAAACGCAAAGACCGCUCAGAUGAGAAGUCCAAGGAUCGCUCAAAAGAUAAAGGGACCACCAAGGAGUCGAGUGAGAAGGAUCGCGGCCGGGACAAAACCCGAAAGAGGCGCAGCGCUUCCAGUGGUAGCAGCAGUACCAGGUGGGGCGGGCUGGCCUGGAGCCUGGAGAGGACCUGUGCCACAGCUACACCCCCACUCCCCACAGAUGGCUCCGUUUUCUUGAUUAUUUACAAAGAAAACACAUCCUCUGGUUGUUAGUAGAGACCCUAAUUUAUGGCAGACUGGCUAGGUGCAGUGGUGGCUCAUGCCUAUAAUCCCAGCACUUUGGGAGGCCGAGGCAGGAGGAUUGCUUGAGGCCUGGAGUUCAAGACCAGCAUGGGCAACAAAACAAGAGCUCGUCUCUACAAAAAAAAAAAAAA
rnacentral:sRNA from 1 species